rnacentral:lncRNA from 1 species
AGCACUCACACAAACUGAAGGGCCCGGUCUCACUCCUACCGUGCCCCCCACAACAGCCCUGAGUCUGUUUCCAGGUGGUGGGCGAGAGGGGUUUGAAAAUUUGCCCCAGGCUAUCCGCCUCCCAGCUGGGCAAGAAAAGGGCGUGGUUGUUCCCCCACUGAGGAGUCUGCACACCGGAUUUGCAUCUUCCCCUGAGUUCUGGCCUGGAGGCUUCUCGCCCCUGCAAAUUGUUACAAAGUUCAGCUAGAGGGUUCCUUCUUCCUGUGGAGUUUUACCUUCUGCUCCUCUGGCCACCCUCCUGAUGGAUCCCUGUGGUGCCAGGCAGGAAUGACCUGCUUAAGGACCCAGCGAGCUCCCAGGACCUUUCUGCUGCUUCCUCUACCCGUAUAUUUUGCUUGCUUCUCUACAUUGACUCAGCUCCAGCGAUUCCUGAGGAAUCUCAUCCACACUACCCUAUGGACUAAAAGGAAAAGCUCUUCAUGUGGUGUUAGCACGGAGAUGAGAAAGAGAGAAAGACAACAUCAUGCUUUGCUGUCUGUGUGUGAACUGAGUAACAGCUGUGAAGGAUCAGUCACCAAAAGACUUUGAAAGAAGAGGCUUGAUUGGUCACGGUAAUGAUGCUCCCCUGGCCAUGGAAGUUUAAUUGGGAGAAAAGAACAUCUGCUUAUACGAAAACAUAUUAUAUUCAGCCAUCCCUGCCCUGACUUUGGCCUUUAAAAACAGUGGCAUUAAUUAUCUCAACAAAUGAAUCUUCGGGAUAAAAAUAAUCUAAAUAUUAUUUUACGCUUACUACAUAUUUGCAACGUGCUAAGCUCUUUAUGGUUGCUACCACAAAAAACAUUUAUAAUAUGAGACUUCACAAGGUUAGGAACAGGCUUCACUUCAUUGUGAUGUGUGUAAGGUGACAGAGGACAUAUAACGAAUACGUGGAAGAACUAGGAAUUUGACCUUAGCUUCCAGACAUUUUGAGGAGGAUACACUAUGUCCAUCUUGCUUUCCUAUCAAGAAAAGUAUACCCAGUUUGUGCAGUAGCCCUGUACCAACAGAUACAUUACAGCAGGUUGUUUCCGUAUUUUGGCUAUUGUGAAUAGUGCUGCAAUAAACAUGGAAGUGCUGAUAUAUCUUUGAGAUCUUGACUUCAAACAAAAGAAGAAAAUCUUGCAAUAUAUGACAACACGGAUUAACCUGGAGGACAUUGUGCUUAGUGAAGUUAGCCAGUCACAGACUGACAAGUACUGCACGAUUCCACUUAUAUGAUGCCACUGAAAGGUAAACAUACCAUUCUGACAUGCAUGAAAAUGAAACGACAAAUUGAUACACGCAGUGCUUGGAAUGGAUGGAGUCCUUCUAAUGAGUGAUUACCUGUGGUAUAACUAUAUUGAUUGUGUUUGUACAUGUCAAAUGGGGCUGGCGAGGAUGAACUUGAAGAAAUCAAUCUUGGAACCUGCUAGGACAGCAGCCUCCUGGUUUCACAGUACUAAAUCAUGACUUCAAAAUUUUGAAGUAAAAGAAAACUGCAAAACUUUGUAAAGUCUCGCCCCACAGCAAAUUAGAAGUUAAUUUGCAUGAGAGCAAGAGCCUUUGCUGUCCUGUUUUACAUCGUUGAUGCCUAAAUGAAAAGAAUGAAAGAAGAUGGAGAGAUCUGAGUACAACCAUCAAGUGAAGGCGUAACCAAGGGAGGCUUGAGCAUACACGUAGACAGAGGGGAGGAAUCUUGUGGAAUAGAAGAGGAUAGAGACACAGAAGAGAGGAUUCAUUGGUGAAAUGAAGCCUCAUGCAUGUUAAUGGGGUUACUGAAGUCAGUAGCACCUUGGGAUCUACAUCUCCAUGCUGUGGAAGGAGGGGAAUGGCUGCCUCCUAGAUGGGAACCACUGGAUUAAGUUAAUAUCAGGCUGCUCCAGAAGCAACGAAGUGACUUUGAGUAAAAGUAUCUUUCUGUGCUCUCAACUCAUCUCUGAUCAGGAGUGGUGUGCUGGGCAAAGCAUUGAGUUCAGAGUUAAAUUUGAAUUGGAAUAUUGUGAAAACAUUUCUACCAUCUUGUUUUUUGAGACUAGGUCUCACUUUAUCAUUUAGGCUGGAGUGCAGUGGGGUGAUCUCGGCUCACUCCAACCUUGACCUGCCAGGUUUAAGCUAUCCUCCUGCCUCAGCCCCCCAAGUGGCUGUGACUACAGGUGCACAACAUCCCUCCCAGCUAAUUUUUUGUAUUUUUUGUAAAGACGGAGUUUCACCAUGUUGCCCAGUCUGGUCUCAAACUUCUGAGCUCAAGCCAUCCUCCCGCCUCAGCCUCCCAAAGUGCUAGGAUUAAAAGUGUAAGCCACUGCACCCAGCCAUCUACCAUCUUUCUUUUUCUUUGAGUCCAUGACACCAGGUCUAUGGCCUGAUGUGUCCACCUAAUGAAGAUAUGGACACAUGCUUUUAAGUGCACCUGAAGAAGGGCAAGCAGGCACACACAGACACAGAACUACAAGCCUCUGCUUUUGAAUUAGAGACAAUAUAUCUACAGAUAGGAACUUGGAAAAGAGCUAAGGAAAAAAAAUCACAGGUUAAACUAAAUAGAGGUUUUCAGGGUUGCCAUAGCCAAAUUUUUCUAAGAUUAUAAACUCCUAGAGGGCAGAGACCAUAUCGCUUUACUUAAUUUUAAACCAGAAAGCAUGAAACUAUGCAGAGUUAGGUAGUUGAGAAGUUAUUUGGAUGACAAUGACAGUAAUGACAAGAUAGCUGAAACUGUUAAGCCCAAAUGAAAUUAUGGCUUAAGCAAUUUAAUCAUUUUCUUGGAGCAAAAUGAGAUUGGUUGAUACAUAAAUGUAUAAUGACAGACUGAAUACUGGAAACUAGACUGUUAGGCACCGUGGGAAUAUUGAACUUAAGUAAAAAGCCAGUCUUUCCUCUCCCAUCAACAGAGACAGAUCAAAUAGUGACUAGACCCUCAGAUGAAACCAGAGAUUCCAUAUCUUUCUCCUUCUUUUCUUGCAAAAGGAAUAUGACCAAAAUUUUAUCAAUUUUACCUAGUUAAAAAAUAAUGUAGCCUAAUAUCAAUUAUUAAAAAAUAAUGUAGCCUAACGCAUCAAUUACCUUUCAAAAUACUGGCCUUAAAGAACCUAGUUUUUUAAAGUACAAUCUGAAUUCCUAUAUUUUCUCAUGAAAAAAUUAUAUUGCUUCACGUGUAAACAGUAUAAUUGCAAGCUAUUCUGAAGCUUACACUAUAACCUUAAAGAAGUUGACUUUACAGAAAAUUUUCUAAUAAUAUAAAUAUUAGUCAUAGAUACAUUUUUCACUUGAUAAUUAUUUUUCUUUGACAUAAAGGUCAAUAUUUUUCAAUGCUGUAGUCAUCAAUUUCAAAGGAAAUAUUUGUGUGCUGCUUCCUGUUUCUGUUCUAAGCAGCCAAUGGGCCAACACAGCAGCUGGCUAUGAGGUCAACAGAAACUAACAUCUGAUGCAGUAUAUUAGCAAUUACUACAGAUUCUAGAACCAGGCAUUGGUGAGUUUUGGUCAAUGCUCAGAGAACAGGCAAUUGAACUCUUUACAGAGCUUUCCAUUUUUGAGUUCUUUCUAGAGAUAGGUUUUGCUGGAAAAAAAACAAGUCAUACUGACUUCAUGAAAGAGGGAAAGAAAAUCUUAAGUAUGUGAGUAUUUAUAGAAUCUUUAAUAUGCAUCUCUACAUAUGGUCUAUGUGUAUAUGCAUGUGAGAAAAGAUUCCUGGUGUUUCUCAAGUUAGUCUAGGUUUUGAGAGUUUCUAAAAACAAGAAGACCGAUCUUGAGAAUUAAACAAAAAGUACUAUCUUAUUAUAAAAUUCUAUUCUCUAUUAUGCAGAAAUCCAUUAUAUAAUACACAGAACUCUGCCUUCAUCAAAUCUAUAGAACAGUCUAUGGAAUUCUAUCUCCAAAGAUGAAUCUGUGAGGUUUCAAAGGCAUUGUGUCAGAAUUAUAUAAAACGUUUGCUGAAAAAAUAUCAGGGAGUUCAUCAAACUUAACCAGUUAUUUAGCACUUAAAAAGCACCCAGAAUAUCUAAACUAACCCUUAAAAAUCAAAUUAUAUCAAAAUGUUUUAGAAUUGUCAUAACCUCAGGUACAUGUCUAAUGAGACAAUAUUGAAAUAUCCAAAUAACACAUACUAACCUUAAAUAAAUCCAUCUCAGUAAUAUUAUUUAAAAAUUAACCAGAAAAACAUACCCUUCACUCUAGGUCAUCUGGAGAGCUCAGUAGCCUUCUUCUUACUGAGAUAAAUUUUCAGAAGUCAUUAAUAACAAUCUCUUAUCUAACUGAGAAGGAUACGACUUUUACUGCAAGGAAUGAUAUGUGCUCCAGAAACGCAAAACAGACAUUAGAAGUAUCAAACACUUACUUUUGAGUUAUGAAUAAAUAACAUAUUUUUGAAAAGAAUGCAUUAUGAUUCACUUACCUGUUACUUUAGCUUCAUAUUUACUGCAGACUCCAUAAAUUUUGACUGCAGUUUCACUGGAGUGUUGCUGGUCAGUGAAAUCUGUGAAAAAGCACAGAGCAAACAGUCAUGAGACAAAGUAAUAUUUGAAUAGAGUAAUGCCUUAUUUUAACAACAGAAAGUUUAAGUAUAAACUUAUUUAUUCAUAUGAACAAUAAAAUCACUCCUCUUGUACAAGAUAAAAGUCUGUUAAGUAAAAGCAACAGUUCAUAUAAACUGAUGAGAAUUGACAAAAAUUUGGUCUCACAAUGUCCACUGCAAUAAGCAAGGAUUAUAUGGUUUGGGUCGAAGUUCACAUACUUAAACACAAGCAUAUGAAACUUGAGAUGAUGCUGAUGUAGUCGAUUAAGUUUAGUCUGGUAUCAGUCAUUAAGAAAACAUAUUAUCUUUACUAACGUAUUAUAGAAAGCAACAAUAACCAUCUGUGUAAAAUUCAUAAUUUUGUAAGAUCCAGAACAUAAUGAUAAUCAUUUUCUGUUUAAGACACAGGUCAGUAAUUCAAAGACUGUUUCCAUAUCCAGAUAAUAUCACUGUAGCUGCAAUUAUUUGCCUUGGCCAUUACCUGAGUUCUGACCUAGGAUUAUUAAUCCUUUAUUUACUCUCCAUAAAUGUUAUUUUAAAUGUACAAGAGACCAUUUUCAAGCUUUUAAUUAGAACACGUCCCACUGUUACUUCUCAAGUGUGGUUCUUCAUUUGUAAGUAUGAAACCAUUUCUCUAGUUACCUUAUUAGUAAACUGGAGUGAUCUUUGAAUGGGUUUUUAGGCAUCUAAGGCAAAUUAAGAAAAAACAGUAACAUGAAAAGAUGCCUUUAAUUUACCACUAAGUGAAAGAGGGGGAAUAUGAUUUGUAUAAAUUAUGAUUAUAAACAAUAUUAAGAUCCUAGGCAUGAAAAAAUACCUGAAAAUGCAAUAGAAUUACCUCAGUUGUGCUAAAUUGGUAAAACUGUAUUUCCUUUUUCUAGAUCCAUUUUAACAAUAUAAUUCUUCCAAUCCACAAACAUAUUUUCUCAUUUAUGUAAGAGAAUUUCAUACAUAAAUUUCUUUCAUCAAUGCUUCACAGUUUUCCAUGUAUAGAUCUUUCAUUUCCCUGGUUAAAUUUAUUUCUAAACACUUUUUCUAUGGUACUGCAAUUGAGAUUGUUUUCUUGGUGUUUUUUCCAGAUAGAUCACUGUUGGUAUGAAGAUAUGCAACUGAUUUUUACAUGUUGAUUUUGUAUCCUGCUGCUUUACUGAAUUCAUUUAUUAGUUCUAAUUGUUGAGUCUUUAGAGUUUUUGACAUAUAGGAUCAGGUCAUCUGAAGACAGGAAUAAUAUUACUUCUUCCUUUCCAAUUAGAAUGCAUUUUCUUUCUUUUUCUUGCCUGACCGAGCUUGCUGGUACUUUUAGUACUAUGUUGAACAGAAGUGGCCUGUUCAUAAAUGGACUUUAUUAUGUCGAAGAAAUCAUCUUCUAUAUCUAUUUUGUUGACAGUUUUUUUUUUUAUAAUGAAAGAAGAUUGAACUUUGUUGAAUGCUUUUUCUGUAUCUAUGGAGAUGAUCGAGUCAUUUUUAUUUUUCAUUCUGUUAGUAGGUUACUAACACUGACUCUAAUGGUAACUUUUGCUAGAGUCUUAUUUGGUUUUAAGAGACCACUAAGCAGCCCUAAAUGAUUUGGUCCCAAAGACUUAACAUAGGUUACUCCAAAUUCUCUUUGAGUUUGAGUAUGAGCUAGAGAAGGUCAUUAUUUGAUGGAUAUAGCCAACUUAAAAAUGUAAUUAUACCUUGCCAUAACUAACUCCGACCUUUCUAAAUACUCGUGCUUAAAAUUUUGUUGAAAUAAUAUUAAAUGAAUCAUUUAAAAGGCCUUGCAAUCAUGUAGACCAACAUAUUUUAUUUUGUUUAUGAGUCUUGUUUUUUGAUAUAGUUUUUCAUUGUUCUAAUAUAUUAAUCCAUAAUUUUAGGCAUCUGUGAAAAUGAGUGAUUACCAGAAUAAUCAUGUCAAGUCACUGAACCCUUCUGUCAUAUAAAUAAUCAAGGAAAA